UACGAAGGGAGGCUAGCGUUGUUCGGAAUCACUGGGCGUAAAGCGCACGUAGGCGGAUGUGUCAGUCAGGGGUGAAAUCCCGGAGCUCAACUUCGGAACUGCCUCUGAUACAGCACGUCUUGCAGUCCGGAAGGAGGUGGGUGGAAAUUCCUAGUGUAGAGGUGAAAUUCGUAGAUGAUUAGGAAGAACACCGGUGGCGAAGGCGCCCAC
rnacentral:rRNA from 1 species